CCAAUAGCGUAUAUUAAAGUUGUUGCAGUUAAAAAGCUCGUAGUUGAAUUUCGGGGUCAGCAGGUUGGUCGUGCCACUGGUAUGAACUGGCCUUGCUGAUUCCUCCUUCUUGAAGAACCGUGAUGCCAUUAAUUUGGUGUUGCGGGGAAACAGGACUGUUACUUUGAAAAAAUUAGAGUGUUUAAAGCAGGCUAACGCUUGAAUACAUUAGCAUGGAAUAAUAAAAUAGGACGUUUGAUCUUAUUUUGUUGGUUUCUAGGGUUGACGUAAUGAUUAAUAGGGAUAGUUGGGGGCAUUAGUAUUCAAUUGUCAGAGGUGAAAUUCUUGGAUUUAUUGAAGACUAACUACUGCGAAAGCAUUUGCCAAGGAUGUUUUCAUUAAUCAAGAACGAAAGUUAGGGGAUCGAAGACGAUCAGAUACCGUCGUAGUCUUAACCAUAAACUAUGCCGACUAGGGAUCGGAUGAUGUUAAUUUUUUAAUGACUCAUUCGGCGCCUUACG
rnacentral:rRNA from 1 species